rnacentral:rRNA from 1 species
ACGGGUGCGUAACGCGUGGGAAUCUGCCCUUGGGUUCGGAAUAACAGUUAGAAAUGACUGCUAAUACCGGAUGAUGUCUUCGGACCAAAGAUUUAUCGCCCAAGGAUGAGCCCGCGUAAGAUUAGCUAGUUGGUGGGGUAAUGGCCCACCAAGGCGACGAUCUUUAGCUGGUCUGAGAGGAUGAUCAGCCACACUGGGACUGAGACACGGCCCAGACUCCUACGGGAGGCAGCAGUGGGGAAUAUUGGACAAUGGGCGAAAGCCUGAUCCAGCAAUGCCGCGUGAGUGAUGAAGGCCUUAGGGUUGUAAAGCUCUUUUACCAGGGAUGAUAAUGACAGUACCUGGAGAAUAAGCUCCGGCUAACUCCGUGCCAGCAGCCGCGGUAAUACGGAGGGAGCUAGCGUUGUUCGGAAUUACUGGGCGUAAAGCGUACGUAGGCGGUUAUUCAAGUCAGAGGUGAGAGCCCGGGGCUCAACCCCGGAACGGCCUUUGAAACUAGGUAGCUAGAGUCUUGGAGAGGUUAGUGGAAUUCCGAGUGUAGAGGUGAAAUUCGUAGA